UACCUAAUCCUAAUAAGCUAAUAGAUCUACCGCCACCUCCUUCCUUCUUCUUCAGCCUCCUUCCUUCCUUCUUCUUCAGCCUCCUUCCUUCUUCUUCAACAGAAAAACUCAGCCACCUCCUUCCUUCUUCUUCUUCUUCUUCUUCAACAGAAAGAACUCAGCCCUUAGCCCCUCAUCAUCAACAGUUGCGGACGACGACCGACGGUGGCGCAAAUCUUCGGGCUGGGUGGUUCUCGGCGAUGGCGGCGGAUUCAAGCGACGCAGGGGCGAGAACUUUUGGGCUGGGUGGUUCUCGGCAACGACUACGGCUUCGAGCGAUGCAGGGGCGACGACUUCAAGCUUCGGCCGAUGCAUGCUCGGUCUAGGUGGUUCUUCUCGCCGACGGCUUCGGGCGACGUAGGGGCUCAUCGGUGCAAGGCUGGGGCUUGACGUCGACAGCGACUGGUGGUUCUUGGCGCCUCCGUCCACCACGGUUUUUAAAAUUUGGGGAUGUUCGAUUUGCAGUUGAUAUGCUGCCGGUUUUUCUAAGAAAAUUUAUGGACUCAUGUAGAUUUAAUUAUAUAAAAUUGUUGUUUAUCUUUAGAAUUAAUUAGAAUGGCUAUUAAUUGUUGUGUCUCAUUGAAAAUAAUGUACAAAUUUUGUUAUUUUAA